GGGCUUGUAAAGGUUUCGACAGGGGUCGUGAAGCUGGAGAAGCGAGCCGCACGGGAUGCGUUAAAUUCCAACACUAAAAUUAAACGCUGAAGAUUAUUUAGCCUGCGCUGCCUAAUGGCAGCAGUCUGACCUAGAGCACCUACACUUUAGGACCCAGGCUUCGACUAUGUAGGAAACGAUGCGGGCAAAGCUUUGAGCCCGCAGGCGUAUCAUGAAGCUACUAAAACCGGAAUUGUGCUUAUGCAAGUCCGGCGGAGGGAAUGUUAAUCCAUAAGCUACGCUCGUAGAAGUACAGGGGAUUGGCUUUUGGACAGGGGUUCGAUUCCCCUCAGGUCCACU
rnacentral:tmRNA from 1 species